rnacentral:rRNA from 1 species
UGAGGAAUAUUGGUCAAUGGGCGAGAGCCUGAACCAGCCAAGUCGCGUGAGGGAUGAAUGGUCUAUGGCCUGUAAACCUCUUUUGUCAAGGAAGAAUAAGGAUGACGAGUCAUUCGAUGCCAGUACUUGACGAAUAAGCAUCGGCUAACUCCGUGCCAGCAGCCGCGGUAAUACGGGGGAUGCGAGCGUUAUCCGGAUUUAUUGGGUUUAAAGGGCGCGUAGGCGGGACGUCAAGUCAGCGGUAAAAGACUGCAGCUAAACUGUAGCACGCCGUUGAAACUGGCGACCUGGAGACGAGACGAGGGAGGCGGAACAAGUGAAGUAGCGGUGAAAUGCAUAGAUAUCACUUGGAACCCCGAUAGCGAAGGCAGCUUCCCAGGCUCGAUCUGACGCUGAUGCGCGAGAGCGUGGGUAGCGAACAGG